rnacentral:rRNA from 1 species
UACAGAGGGUGCGAGCGUUUAAUCGGAAUUACUGGGCGUAAAGCGCGCGUAGGCGGCUUUUCAAGUCGAUUGUGAAAUCCCCGGGCUUAACCUGGGAACUGCAGUCGAGACUGUCUAGCUAGAGUAUGGGAGAGGGAAGUGGAAUUUCAGGUGUAGCGGUGAAAUGCGUAGAUAUCUGAAGGAACAUCAGUGGCGAAAGCGACUUCCUGGACCAAUACUGACGCUCAUGUGCGAAAGCGUGGGGAGCAAACAGGG